CAGGGAUUGCCCCAGUAACGGCGAGUGAAGCGGCAACAGCUCAAAUUUGAAAUCUGGCCCCAGGCCCGAGUUGUAAUUUGCAGAGGAUGCUUUGGGCGCGGCGCCUUCCGAGUUCCCUGGAACGGGACGCCAUAGAGGGUGAGAGCCCCGUACGGUCGGAUGCCUAGCCUAUGUAAAGCUCCUUCGACGAGUCGAGUAGUUUGGGAAUGCUGCUCAAAAUGGGAGGUAUAUUUCUUCUAAAGCUAAAUACCGGCCAGAGACCGAUAGCGCACAAGUAGAGUGAUCGAAAGAUGAAAAGCACUUUGAAAAGAGGGUUAAACAGCACGUGAAAUUGUUAAAGGGGAAGCGCUUGUGACCAGACUUGCGUCCGGUGAAUCAUCCAGCCUUCUGGCUGGUGCACUUCGCCGGCACAGGCCAGCAUCAGCUCGCUGUCGGGGACAAAAGCUUCGGGAACGUAGCUCCUCUCGGGGAGUGUUAUAGCCCGUUGCACAAUACCCUUCGGCGGGCUGAGGUACGCGCUCCGCAAGGAUGCUGGCGUAAUGGUCAUCAGCGACCCGUCUUGAAACACGGACCAAGGAGUCAACCUUAUGUGCGAGUGUUUGGGUGUUAAACCCCUACGCGUAAUGAAAGUGAACGCAGGUGAGAGCUUCGGCGCAUCAUCGACCGAUCCUGAUGUUCUCGGAUGGAUUUGAGUAAGAGCAUAUAGGGUUGGACCCGAAAGAAGGUGAACUAUGCGUGUAUAGGGUGAAGCCAGAGGAAACUCUGGUGGAGGCUCGCAGCGGUUCUGACGUGCAAAUCGAUCGUCAAAUAUGCGCAUGGGGGCGAAAGACUAAUCGA
rnacentral:rRNA from 1 species